rnacentral:lncRNA from 1 species
CCCCAGCGCCCACUGGGGAUGGCAAAGACGACAUCCGGUGCUGCCGCGGCUGCUCACAAAAUCACUCACCUGUGGCGCCCUUGGCACUAAGUCAAGGCUCUGAAUAUCCAAGGCCGCCCCACUGCUUGGAAGCCCCGGACACCAGAGAGUCUCCCGUAGGUCCUCCAGCCAAGCCCGAUGACCCUGGCAGACCCAGGAGUGAUGUCCCCUCUGGAUGAUCCCAACCCCUUGCUGUGGAUUCAGCCCCAGCCAUUGUUGUGUCUUUUGGGGGCCUUGUCAGUUGCCUUCCAAGUGCUAAUUGUCAUGACGAGAUAAGAAUGGCUGUGACUGGGUGUUGAUUGAUGAACCGAACACAUUUAAUCCUGGACUUUGAGGUUAUCAGAACUCCCCAUUUAGAAAAUCAUCCUUUAUGUUUUAGAAAAUCAUCUUUGUAUGUUGAACAUACAAUGCUUCUUUUUUCUUCAUCUCCGAUGCACUGGUCUAGAUAGUGACAGUUGGACCCCAGAGUGUGGCACGUGUUCCUGUGUUCAUUUGUGGCAAGAGAUCCCCUCUCGAGGAGACUCCGCAGAAACACCAGAGAUGAAAGUGGCACACAACAACCGAAGGCAGAGGAACAGGCUGAGGAUAAAGGUGUCAAGCAUGUGGCAGCAGAGCUUCCUGGGGAGGGGUUCUCAGAGCAAGUCAUUGCCGUUUACGAAGUGUUUUCUAGGCUUUAUUUUGGGGCCAUUGCCUCGAGCACUAUUUCUCAUCUGGUUUCCUAAUGUCAGCAACUGAAGAAAAGACUUGCGCACACAGGACACAGCAUGGUCUGAGGCUCACAGUGUUUUCCUUUCUCUCUGCAGAGGGACUCAGCACUUUGGGCAAGUGGUUGCACGGAGGAUCCCGUGGAAGAAUUCAUAGACGAAUCAGAUGAGGAUGCCCCAGGACCAUCGAAGAUACCAACAAGCCCUCUCCCGGCACCUGGAGAAGUGGAGAAAACCUCUGAGGAGGCAGAAACAUUCGUCCAGAAGGGCCGCCACCCAGUGGAUUUCCCUUGCCCCUCAGCCGUCUGGAGCGUAUGAGUUUUGGAGAACCCUCUUCCUCUGUAUAUGCUUUUGACUUUCCUGGAUUGAUGUAAAAAUACUCUUUUCUUUGACCUGUUUAUUUUUAAGACAAUGAUGUGAUUGUGUCAGCUUAUUAUUGCUGAAGUAAAUUUUCAAAUGUUUUAUUAGUU